rnacentral:sRNA from 2 species
UUGGCCCAGUUUUUAAACUACGCUCAACUCCACCUCAUCUAACCCGCACGCACGUUCUCACGCACGUUCUCACACACGUUCUCACACAGACCCCUAUUAGGUAAGGGGUUAGGAUUAACUAGUUAGGAGGUUACGGUUAGAUUUGGGUUAUAUAACUAAUCUGGAGUUAGAGUGUUAGAGUGGGAUAAGAUUCAGACCACGGCAUUACAACCAGGUUCCACUCUCAGAAAGGGAUUGAUAAUUACACCGCUGACCCGGCGAAUUACGGAUCGUGUAUACACUUAAUAUGCAAAAUAACUAGCAGUUCAAACGAAAUAAAGUAGAAUAGAUACAUAACUGAGUGCGAAUCAUCUGCAUCA